CGGCCCCGGCUGGCGGCCCACGGGCUAUAGCCCGAGGAAACUCCGCCCUCCCCGCGGCAGCCAGGCCCCGUGAGGGGCGCGGGUGAAACCCGCGGCAACGGCACAGAAACGACACGGCCCCUAGUCAAUGAGGAUGAAGCUGCGAGGCCCCCUAGGCAACUAGGGGGCAGAAAACCAGCGGACAAGGCUAGGGGAUGCGGUGAAACGGCCGCCCCUGGCGGAGCAAGGCCCUACCCGAUGAGGGCCGCGCGAAGGGUGGGGGGACCGCUGAGUCGAAUGCCGCCGUAGUACAGAAGGCGGGUUAUAGCCGGGGCCG
rnacentral:RNase_P_RNA from 1 species